rnacentral:rRNA from 1 species
AUGAAGCUGGAUUCGCUAGUAAUCGCGCAUCAGCCACGGCGCGGUGAAUACGUUCCCGGGCCUUGUACACACCGCCCGUCAAGCCAUGGAAGCCGGGAGUGCCUGAAGUGCGUGAGCGCAAGCAGCGCCCUAAGGUAAAGCCGGUGACUGGGGCUAAGUCGUAACAAGGUAAC